CCUACGGGAGGCAGCAGUGGGGAAUAUUGCACAAUGGGCGCAAGCCUGAUGCAGCGACGCCGCGUGAGGGAUGACGGCCUUCGGGUUGUAAACCUCUUUCAGCAGGGACGAAGCGCAAGUGACGGUGCCUGCAGAAGAAGCACCGGCCAACUACGUGCCAGCAGCCGCGGUAAUACGUAGAGUGCAAGCGUUGUCCGGAAUUACUGGGCGUAAAGAGCUCGUAGGCGGUUUGUCGCGUCGUCUGUGAAAACCAGCAGCUCAACUGUUGGCUUGCAGGCGAUACGGGCAGACUUGAGUAUUUCAGGGGAGACUGGAAUUCCUGGUGUAGCGGUGAAAUGCGCAGAUAUCAGGAGGAACACCGGUGGCGAAGGCGGGUCUCUGGGAAAUAACUGACGCUGAGGAGCGAAAGCGUGGGUAGCGAACAGGAUUAGAUACCCUGGUAGUCCACGCCGUAAACGGUGGCGCUAGGUGUGGGUUUACCUCCACGGGAUCCGUGCCGUAGCUAACGCAUUAAGCGCCCGCUGGGGAAGUACGGCCGCAAGGUCUAAAACGUUCAAAAGUGUUAGUUAGGACGNGNGAGNGCGACGACGACGACGACGGAGGAGGAG
rnacentral:rRNA from 1 species